UACGUAGGUGGCAAGCGUUAUCCGAAUUUAUUGGGCGUAAAGGGAACGCAGGCGGUCUUUUAAGUCUGAUGUGAAAGCCUUCGGCUUAACCGGAGUAGUGCAUUGGAACCUGGGAGACUUGAGUGCAGAAGAGGAGAGUGGAACUCCAUGUGUAGCGGUGAAAUGCGUAGAUAUAUGGAAGAACACCAGUGGCGAAAGCGGCUCUCUGGUCUGUAACUGACGCUGAGGUUCGAAAGCGUGGGUAGCAAACAGG
rnacentral:rRNA from 1 species